CCUACGGGUGGCAGCAGUGGGGAAUCUUCCGCAAUGGGCGAAAGCCUGACGGAGCAACGCCGCGUGAUCGAAUGAAGGCCUUCGGGUUGUAAAGAUCUGUUGACAGGGACGAAUAAGCCAUGCGAAUAGUUUGGUGUAUGACGGUACCUGUUUAGAAAGCUCCGGCUAACUACGUGCCAGCAGCCGCGGUAAUACGUAGGGAGCAAGCGUUGUCCGGAAUUACUGGGUUUAAAGGGUGCGUAGGCGGGCUGUUAAGUCAGCGGUAAAAGCCCGGGGCUCAACCCCGGCGAGCCGUUGAAACUGGCUGUCUUGAGAUGUCGAGAGGUAUGCGGAAUGCGCAGUGUAGCGGUGAAAUGCUUAGAUAUUGCGCAGAACUCCGAUUGCGAAGGCAGCAUACCGGCGGUGAUCUGACGCUGAGGCACGAAAGCGUGGGUAUCGAACAGGAUUAGAUACCCUUGUAGUC
rnacentral:rRNA from 1 species